rnacentral:tRNA from 1 species
GGAUUGUGACUCAGUGGUAGAGCACUUGCCUAGCAAGUGCAAGGCCCUGGGUUCAAUCCUCAGUACCA